rnacentral:tRNA from 1 species
GCCGGGGUAGCUCAAUCGGUAGAGCGUGUGGCUCUUAAACGCAUUCAUUCAUUCACUGCAAUGCAAUGCAACGAGAUCACCUCAAGGUCGUGGGUGUAAGUUGAUGAUCAAUUCAGCACAUCGUCCAGAACAGUCACUGAUGGAUGAAUACCUCAGUCGAGCCCCACCUUCGGCU